CUCCUUGGAAGCCAUCACCGGAAGAUGAGUCUGCGUCCCAUCAGCUAGUUGGUAAGGUAAUGGCUUACCAAGGCGAAGACGGGUAGGCUGGUCUGAGAGGAUGAUCAGCCACACUGGUACUGGAACACGGACCAGACUCCUACGGGAGGCAGCAGUGGGGAAUAUUGGGCAAUGGGCGAAAGCCUGACCCAGCCACGCCGCGUGAGUGAUGAAGGCCUUCGGGGUUGUAAAGCUCUGUGGGAAGGGGCGAAAAACUCAGACCUAAUACGUCUGAGGUUGACGGUACCUUCUUAGCAAGCACCGGCUAACUCUGUGCCAGCAGCCGCGGUAAGACAGAGGGUGCAAACGUUGCUCGGAUUUACUGGGCGUAAAGCGCGUGUAGGCGGGCGAAUAAGUCGGGUGUGAAAUCCCUGGGCUCAACCUAGGAACUGCAUCCGAAACUGUUCACCUGGAGUGAUGGAGAGGAAGGCGGAAUUCCCGGUGUAGAGGUGAAAUUCGUAGAUAUCGGGAGGAACACCAGUGGCGAAGGC
rnacentral:rRNA from 1 species